CUAAGCGUACACGGUGGAUGCCCUGGCAGUCAGAGGCGAUGAAGGGCGUGCUAAUCUGCGAUAAGCGCCGGUAAGGUGAUAUGAACCGUUAUAACCGGCGAUACCCGAAUGGGGAAACCCAGUGUGAUUCGUCACACUAUCAUUAACUGAAUCCAUAGGUUAAUGAGGCGAACCGGGGGAACUGAAACAUCUAAGUACCCCGAGGAAAAGAAAUCAACCGAGAUUCCCCCAGUAGCGGCGAGCGAACGGGGAGGAGCCCAGAGCCUGAAUCAGCAUGUGUGUUAGUGGAAGCGUCUGGAAAGGCGCGCGAUACAGGGUGACAGCCCCGUACACAAAAGCGCAUGUGCUGUGAGCUCGAUGAGUAGGGCGGGACACGUGGUAUCCUGUCUGAAUAUGGGGGGACCAUCCUCCAAGGCUAAAUACUCCUGACUGACCGAUAGUGAACCAGUACCGUGAGGGAAAGGCGAAAAGAACCCCGGCGAGGGGAGUGAAAAAGAACCUGAAACCGUGU
rnacentral:rRNA from 1 species